GCGGAAAUCCUAGUGUAGCGAUGAAAUGCAUAGAUAAUAGGAGGAAUCACCAAUGGCAAAGGCGGACUGAUGGACAAAAAAUGACGCUGAGGCGCGAAUGCGAGGGGAGCAAACAGGAAUAGAUCCCCUGGUAGUCCACGCUGUAAACGAUGAAUACUAGGUGUGGGGGGCUGACCCCUUCCGUGCCGCAGUAAACACAAUAAAGUAUUCCACACUGGGGGAGUACGAUCGCAAGAUUGAAACUCAAAGGAAUUGACGGGGGCCCGCACAAGCAGUGGAUUAUGUGGUUUAAUUCGACGCAACGCGAAGAACCUUACCGGGAUUUGACAUCCUAACUAUCGAAGUAGAGAUACAUUAGGUGACUUCGGGGAAAGUAGAGACAGGUGGUGCAUGGUUGUCGACAGCUCGUGUCGUGAGAUGUUGGGUUAAGUCCCGCAACGAGCGCAACCCCUAUUGUUAGGUUGUACGCAAGAGCACACUAGCGAGACUGCCGUUGACAAAACGGAGGAAGGCGGGGACGACGUCAAAUCAUCAUGCCCCUUAUGUCCCGGGCUACACACGUAAUACAAUGGCGGUCUACAGAGGGAAGCAAAGCCGCGAGGCAGAGCAAACCCCUAAAAGCCGUUCAGUUCGGAUUGCAGGCUGCAACUCGCCUGCAUGAAGUUGGAAUUGCUAGUAAUCGUGGAUCAGCAUGCCACGGUGAAUACGUUCCCGGGCCUUGUACACACCGC
rnacentral:rRNA from 1 species